rnacentral:rRNA from 1 species
AGUGAACGCUGGCGGUAGGCCUAACACAUGCAAGUCGAACGGCAGCACAGUAAGAGCUUGCUCUUACGGGUGGCGAGUGGCGGACGGGUGAGGAAUACAUCGGAAUCUACUUUUUCGUGGGGGAUAACGUAGGGAAACUUACACUAAUACCGCAUACGACCUACGGGUGAAAGCAGGGGAUCUUCGGACCUUGCGCGAUUGAAUGAGCCGAUGUCGGAUUAGCUAGUUGGCGGGGUAAAGGCCCACCAAGGCGACGAUCCGUAGCUGGUCUGAGAGGAUGAUCAGCCACACUGGAACUGAGACACGGCCCAGACUCCUACGGGAGGCAGCAGUGGGGAAUAUUGGACAAUGGGCGCAAGCCUGAUCCAGCCAUACCGCGUGGGUGAAGAAGGCCUUCGGGUUGUAAAGCCCUUUUGUUGGGAAAGAAAAGCAGCAGGUUAAUACCCCGCUGUUCUGGCGGUACCCAAAGAAUAAGCACCGGCUAACUUCGUG